rnacentral:rRNA from 1 species
UACGUAGGGGGGCAAGCGUUGUCCGGAUUUACUGGGCGUAAAGAGCGUGUAGGCGGCCAAGCAGGUCCGUUGUGAAAACUGGAGGCUUAACCUCCAGACGUCGACGGAAACCGCGCGGCUAGAGUCCGGAAGAGGAGAGUGGAAUUCCUGGUGUAGCGGUGAAAUGCGCAGAUAUCAGGAAGAACACCAAUGGCGAAGGCAGCUCCUCUGG